UACGUAGGGGCAAGCGUUGUCCGGAAUCACUGGGCGUAAAGCGCAUGUAGGUGGUUCUGUAAGUAGGGCGUGAAAGCUCCCGGCUCAACUGGGAGAGGCCGUUCUAAACUACAGAGCUAGAGGAUGGUAGAGGGAGGUGGAAUUCCCGGUGUAGCGGUGGAAUGCGCAGAUAUCUGGAGGAACACCAGUGGCGAAGGCGGCCUCCUGGACCAUUCCUGACACUCAGACGCGAAAGCUAGGGUAGCAAACGGGAUUAGAUACCCGGGUAGUCCCUGA
rnacentral:rRNA from 1 species